rfam:Microgenomates bacterium GW2011_GWC2_45_8 TX21_C0007, whole genome shotgun sequence.
GGGGGGAUGCCACAGCGGUCACACUGGAAUGGUUUACUAAACCAUCGUCCGAGUAAUCGGAUCGUGGGUUCGAAUCCCACUCCCCCCG